rnacentral:rRNA from 1 species
CUUGCAGGGUACUCGAGUGGCGAACGGGUGAGUAACACGUGGGUGAUCUGCCCUGCACUUCGGGAUAAGCUUGGGAAACUGGGUCUAAUACCGGAUAGGAACCAUCUUUAGUGUGGUGGUUGGAAAGUUUUUUCGGUGUAGGAUUAGCUCGCGGCCUAUCAGCUUGUUGGUGGGGUAGUGGCUUACCAAGGCUUUGACGGGUAGCCGGCCUGAGAGGGUGACCGGCCACAUUGGGACUGAGAUACGGCCCAG